rnacentral:rRNA from 1 species
UGGGGGUUGGAAAGUUUCGGCGGUUGGGGAUGGACUCGCGGCUUAUCAGCUUGUUGGUGGGGUAGUGGCUUACCAAGGCUUUGACGGGUAGCCGGCCUGAGAGGGUGACCGGCCACAUUGGGACUGAGAUACGGCCCAGACUCCUACGGGAGGCAGCAGUGGGGAAUAUUGCACAAUGGGCGGAAGCCUGAUGCAGCAACGCCGCGUGCGGGAUGACGGCCUUCGGGUUGUAAACCGCUUUCGCCUGUGACGAAGCGUGAGUGACGGUAAUGGGUAAAGAAGCACCGGCUAACUACGUG